ACGUGCUGGCACAUAGAACGAGGGUUGCGCUCGUUGCGGGACUUAACCCAACAUCUCACGACACGAGCUGACGACAACCAUGCACCACCUGUAUACCAACCUUGAGGGACUUCUAUCUCUCUGCGUUUCCGGUAUAUGUGAAGCCUUGUGAAGGUGCUCCUCGUUGCUUCUAAUUAUUCCCCAUGCGCUUCGCCUGGUGCGGGCCCCCCCCANU
rnacentral:rRNA from 1 species